rnacentral:rRNA from 1 species
ACACGAACACUGUCUGAAGGUUGCAGUCUGAGUCGAUUUAUUUAAUCGUUAAAACUUUCAACAACGGAUCUCUUGGUUCCGGCAUCGAUGAAGAACGCAACGAAAUGCGAUAAUUAAUGUGAAUUGCAGAAUUCAGUGAAUCAUCGAGUCUUUGAACGCACAUUGCGCCCCCUGGUAUUCCGGGGGGCAUGCCUGUCCGAGCGUCAUUGCUGCCCUCAAGCACGGCUUGUGUGUUGGGUCGCCGUCCCCUUCCCGGGGGACGGGCCCGAAAGGAAUCGGCGGCACCGCGUCCGGUCCUCGAGCGUAUGGGGCUUUGUCACCCGCUCUGUAGGCCCGGCCGGCGCCUGCCGACCACCAACCUUUUUUUAACCAGGUUGACCUCGGAUCAGGUAGGGAUACCCGCUGAACUUAAGCAUAUCAAUAACCCGGAGGAAUUAAGCAUAUCAAUAAGCGGAGGAA